GAGAUGCAAACGCUUCAGAAUAUAUAUUUUGCUAUUAUGGCCUUUCACUUUAUUGUCAGUUGGAUUAGUAAUACAGAUGGAUCAGAAUUUCGACCUUGCUCAAAACUAAUACUAGACAACUGCUCCUUGGUUCUAGAAGAAGGACAAAAUGUUUCUUGUCAUUGUAAACUGGUUUCAAACACACACGUAGAAUCAACGAUUCAUUGGUCAAGUAAAUCGUUCAAAUCUUUUAAUUCUACACUCUCUUUACUUGCUCGAAGACCACUGUCAGAUGAGUUCCUAUGUACUGCUACAAUCAAUAUAACAUCUGAGACAUUUACAGCAGCAUAUAAACCCUUUGUCAUCGGUAA